GAACCAUGGCGGGCGGCGGCAUGGGGGCGGUGGGGCUCCGCGGGCAGCCUGGUUGCGCUGCACCCGGACGGGGCCGAGGGGACCUGAAAGCUGCGGCAGAGCCUGACCGCGCCGUUCUCCAGAAGAGCCCCGGCCGCGGCUGAGUCGCGCUCCGGGUGUGGACGGAGCCGGAGCCUCCCCGGGGCUCGGUGAGGACACAGGGCCCAAGCCCCGGACCUUCAAGUCUUGACCGAGCGCAUCCCCGGCCCUUCUGCGCCCACACCUGAGUUUUUGUCUGUAGGAGUUUCCGCAGUUUGCUAAGAAUCGACAUCUAGAGGAGUACUCACCACUUAAUUGAUGAUCAAUACACGUUCCUUGAAAGAACCGAUAGCAUGCGAUCGAUACAGAGCAUCUGCACUGGGAUUGUCCGCCCCGCCUGUCAGGGAGGCCUCGGGGGCUAAUGGAGCUGAGGGUCUCUACAAUAAUAACUUAACUCUUUCAAUUAAUUGCCCAUCAGAAAAUCGUUGAAUCCAUCUGUGACCUGGACACCUUCCACCUGCAUCCAUGGAGUUGUGUCACCUUUCUGGACCAAACCACUGGACACCUUACAUGUAUCGAUUGGCAACAUGUACACCUCCACACACUGCUAAAUGACAAAGCCGAAUUUUGAAAUACGAUACUGUGAGGUGUUUGGAGAAGAGAACUGAAAUGACGUCAUGGAGGUGGCAGGGGAUCGUCUUGCCCUUUUCUUAUUUUCUGCCUGUAACUUCUGUCCCCCUAAAAUGCAUAAAAUCCAGCUAGAACCCAACCACCUUAUGCAGCAGUUCUUAGGACCUCAUGGGGCUGUGUCAUCAAUCAAAGUCCUCAUAUUUGGCUCAGAAUAAAUCUCAUCAACUAAUUUACAAAUUUGACUCUUUGUGUUGACAAGUCUGUCUUACCGUUCUUUAAUAAGGGCCGUGUAUAAUGUUUUCUUUAGCAAGUGUGGCAAAA
rnacentral:lncRNA from 10 species